ensembl:lncRNA
GGGUCUACACGGUCUGCAUUAGAAGAUCCUGCUGCACAUGGUUCUUUAAUGGGUUGUCCUCGCUCUAUAGUUUCUGCAUUAGAUACCUGUGCAUCUGCAUAAGAUGGUGGUGGUGCACAUGAAGCAUCAGGCUGACCUUCCUGCUCCACACGUUUACACUCUGCAGACAUCUUUACCUCUUCACUGCUCUCAGGACCAACACAUUCUGCUCCUUCAGUCGUUGUUGCACAGGGAUUCUCAUUGGGCCGCUGCCAGCGCAGGCUCUGAUCUUGUGACCUCUUACUCUUCCUUGGCAUUGUUGAUGUUUCAAAACCACAAAUGUUGUCGUACAAAACCAAGAUAUUAAAUACAAUAUGAAUACUAUGUUAUACUAGUUUAUAUUCAAAACCAGGAACAGUGGUG